CUCCCUCCCCUACACUUGCAUUGACCACUAGUGACUUGGCCUGCAGCCUCCUGGUCAAGGAGCUGCCCUGGUAGGGUCGGCUGAGCUCCCUCCAAGCUGCGUAUUAACAGAAGUCAGAAGAAAGGCUGCAAAACCCACGCCGGAAGGAGUUGGGGACAAACGAAAAGACCCUUCGCUCACUCAACUUAUCACUUUUGGUGUCUGCAUCUCUCUGCUCUACGUUGAAACCAGUGCUGCGGUGCAUUCCAUUGCCCCUCUUUUCUAGAUGAGGCCUUAGAGACUGGACAGGACUGUUUGCGGGCCGGGGUGAAUUCGCUGGAAGCCCAGGCUCUGGUGCAAGACCGGAGAUAACGGGUAAUACAGAUUCAAACUUUGUGUGGAUAAUAACCUCAGUGCCAGACAUCGUCGACCUGACUCCUACUUCAGGCAUGAUUCUGAGUGAUUUUUGACCAUAUGGUAACAGAUCAAGAAGCCAGACGUCUGCAGGGCUGUGCUUCUGGGAAGGGGUGUGACCUUUGACUCCUGAGCUGCUCAUCUUGCCAUUUGACACAGGUUUGUUCCCUGAUGAGUGAAGUGGUUACACGGCGCUCAGAGAUUAACUCUGGAAUGACUGGGAUGAAAUCUCAGCCACACUUACACCCAAGGCACAUGGGCGUGACCAGCAGCCAAACACCUGGACACACACCUUUGCGUCCACAGGCAGUUCACCAAGAUGCACAUUUUAACCAGGAGCAAUGGAUAAAAUUUUUUCACUCUUCUUUUGGCAAAAACGUCUACUUUCCAGAAAGGAAUUACGGCAAUAAAUUCUGAAAAUUUUUUACAUAAUACACUGGAGAUCCUAAAAACUCAAAAUAUUUGAGUAGACACUCAGCCUAUUUUUGACUCUUGCAGGUGCAGUUCAAUUUUUCACUGUUGAAUUUCAUACAUUUGAAAAGAGCGGAGCAAUUCUUGAGUAUUUUAUUAGCAGUAGUAUUAGUAUUAUUAAGAUUUUAUUUUCCAGAUUUUUAUAGGACUUGCCAUGUGUCAGGCACUAUUCCCAGCUGUUGAAAAACAUUAUUUAAUCCCCAUUAUGAUCAUGUUAGGGAAGUACUGUUGUCACCAUCGUCAGAUGUAAAAUACAGGGAGGUUAAGCAACUUGCCAAAGAUCACACAGCCAGAAGGUGGCAAAGCUGAGCUGUGAACCCAGAUCGGCUGGCUCUGGAGCUCCUGCCCUCUACCAAGAGAGGUGAGACAAACUUCUCUGCAAAACCUUUUCCAGAGCCUUUGGGGCAAACCACUAGGUCCACAAAAAAUAAAGAGGUCGUCUAAGGAAAAAAAUAUUUCAAAAAAAUAUUUGUCUUGCCUUGGGAGCCGGUAUCGGAUGGUGUCUUUGGUGAAUUUCAUGAGUGCAGAGUGCCAUCUUGUGGCAAAGGAGAAUAUAGCUUUUAGCUCUAAAAAAUAGCCCAGGUUGGGAGCUCCCGGACAUGACUCCCUGGUAACGAAACCAACUAGUAUCCAUGAGGAGGCGGGUUCGAUCCCUGGCCUCGCUAAGUGGGUUAAGGAUCCAGCGUUGCCAUGAGCUGUAGCGUUGGUCGCAGAUGUGGCUCAGAUCCAAUGUUGCUGUGGCUGUGGUGUAAGCCGGCAACCAUAGCUCCAAUUCAGCCCCCUAGCCUGGGAACUUCCAUAUGCCAUGGGUGCAGCCCUGAAAAAGAAAAAAAUGUAGCCUAGGUUGCCAGCAGACUCUGGUCACGCACUGCUGUUAAUCUGCAGGAGCAGCAGCCCCAUCAAUAAGCAGCCUCUGUAAAGUCAGGCAGAUCUAGAGGAUACUCCUGUAGGGUUUGUUCCUGGUAGAAAUGCAUGGUGUGAACACACUAAGACACGCCAACAACGAGAGAUCAGAACCAGCCACUGGGAGUACUGUGUGUCAGCUGUAAUACUGCUGCCCACUUUACAGAUGGAAAAACUGAGUGCCAGGGAAAUGAAUGUUACAUGCCCAAGAUUACAGAGCUAAUCACAGAGCUGGGAUUCUGGCCAUCUUCUGCCAGACCUCAGGCAAACCUCCUCUUUAUGCUGCCACACCAUGGGUAGGCACCUGGGCUCACCACUAGACAGCUUCUCUGAGACCCAGCCCAUACAGCACUUAGCCCUGUGGGGGGGAAUCCCAGGGACUCAUACACCUGCUUUCCUUUCAAAUUAGAAAUGCUCUGGGGAUUCUUAACCCACUGCAGCUCGGGUCUCUGUGGAGGCAUGGUUUCCAUCCCCAGCUUGGGCACAGUGGGUUAAAGAUCUGGUGUUGCCACAGCUGCAGCAUAGGUCGCAGCUGCAGCUGAGAUGCAGUCACUCACCUGGGAACUCCUACAUGCCACAGGUGCAGCCAUUAAAAUAAAAUAAAAUAAAAGUAAAAUAGCGAGUUCCCAUGAUGGCUCAGUGGUAAGGAACCUGGCUAGUAUCCAUGAGGACUCAGGUUCUAUCUCUGACCUUGCACGUUGGGUUAAGGAUGCGGCAUUGCUGUAGCGCUGCAGCAUAGGUCGCCGACACGGCUUGCAUCUGGGUUUGUUGUAGCUGUGGUGUAGGCCGGCAGCAACAGCUCUCAUUCAACCCCUAGCCUGGGAACUUCCAUAUGCCGUGGGUGAGGCCCUAAAAAAAUAAAAAUUAAUUAAUAAAAUAAGAUAAAAUAAAACAAAGAAGUGUCUGAAUCUCCCCUAGUCGUUUGGCGUUCUGAACGCCCUUCAUCAGCCACAUAAUGUAGAAGUAUAUGGAUUUUUAUUUUCUUACGAAUUCACAAGCAAAUUUAAACUUGAGGGGACCUGCAAGGCAACUUUCCAAAAUACUACUAGUUUUGGACAAAGGACCCCACGAGGUGUCCAUCUCAGACAAGGGUAGCUCUGCGGGCUGAUGCAGCCCAAUUCAUCUACUCCACCCACGAUCCUGCUCUCCUGCUCUCGGUGGCUAUCGCCAUGCUGGCACCUUCAUCUCCAAAGGACUCAGCUCUGCCCCAGGCCUGCAGCAUCAGCCUCUCCCAGCACCGUCAGAAGUGCAGAGCCUCAGCCCUGCUCAGCCCUACAAACUGAGACCGCAUCUUAGUAACACUGCGGUGAGGCCCAUGGCAUGCGAGUGCGUGACACGCUGCUGGAGACGCUGGUCGAGGGUGAUGGGCGUGAACUGGGCCCAGAGGCGUGGGGGCUGGGGCAGAACUUACCCACCUUCCAGGCAGCAGGGACUGCAGGACAGGUGAGCCCUGACAGGCUGAGGACAGGAAGGACAGUGGAAAGCAAGGAGCCGGACGAGGAGCUGAUCUGGACUACAACCUGUUUGGAUGUUUGAGGCAUCCAGGGGAGGCCACCAUUGAGCACUGAUAGAUGUGGGGCAUUUGACCUCCAUGUACAACCUUGAAAUUCAUCAAGCCUGUGGCCAUCUGUCAAACGACCUCUGAAUUGGAGAGAGAGGAAGGAGGCAGGCUGCUGGUCCCCCCAAGUCCGCUCCCCCUAUUCCGCGGAAUAGCAUUUCUCUUUUGCCCGCGGUCCCCCGGCAGAGGGACGCUGCACCCCCAUCUCCUUUGUUCACCUGACUCAGCGCCAGCCCGUGGAGUGUGAACUUGCAGGUCACUUGCUCAAAUAGGAGUUAACGUCAGUUUUUUUCCUCUCUGUGGUCGUGAUGGUGACCUGUGCAAGUGGGGAAGGGGCAGCAUAGGGACAGUCCUGGGUCCCCACCUGACCAUGUAGCCUCCCCAGACCGUCCUCGUGGAGAGAGAUAUAAGCUGUCUCCAGGUAGUGUUUUGGAGAUAGUUUACAUUUUUUUUAAUGUGCAUUAUUUAUUUCUUUAUUUAUUUAUUGGCACACGGAAGUGUCCAGGCCAGGGAUGGAACUCACGCCACAGCUCUAACCAAAGCCCAAGCAGUGACACCAGCUCCUCAACCCGCUGAUUUUUUAAAUUUUGACAAAACUUCAGACAUAGGAAAGUUGCAAGCAUAGCCCAACCAGGUGUUCCUGUGUAUCCUUCACUUGGUUCCCCCAUUUCACUCCAUUGGUUUUAUCCUUUUCUCUCUUCCUCAAAUAUGUGUAUUUUUCUGACCCACUCGAGACUAAGCCUCAAGCAUGCUGCCUCUUUACCACUGCAUCCUUCAUGUACAUUACCUCAAACAAGGAUAUUUUCCUAAUUCCAUAGACCAUAGCAAAAUAAUCAGUCAGAAAAUUAAUGGUGAUAGAGCUGAAGCUGCUCUUUAUUUAUUUAUUUAUUUAUUUUUGUCUUUUUAGGGUCGCACCCGAAGCAUAUGGAGGUUCCCAGGCUAGGGGUCUAGUCCAAGCUGUAGCCGCCGGCCUAGGCCAUAGCCACAGCCACACCAGAUCCAAGCCAUGUCUGUGACCUACACCACAGCUCAUGGCAAUGCCAGAUCCUUAACCCACGGAGCGAGGCCAGGGAUCAAACCUGCCACUUCAUGGAUACCAGUCGGGUUCAUUACCACUGAGCCACAACAGGAACUCCAAAAGGCACUAAUUUACCCUUUUCAAGUAGUGAGUGCUCUGCAGAGAGAUGGUGGAAGUCAGCCAGCAGUUUAGACAGCAUUGUUACUGGUACAAAGGCAGAGGUUCCGCUGAAGAAAAUUCAGCUGCAAAUCCGAGCCCUGACUUAAGGGCCAUUGUUAGGAAUGUAAUUCAUUCACAUCCCGCCCCCGGUAUUUUGGGUGCACAGGAAAUUUUUCCUAGUUUCCCUGGACUCCCAUUAAACUUGAAUAUUAAUUUUUUAAAUAGCCCAGAGGGGAGCCUGGAUGGUGUAGUUCCCUUUCCAGAGAGUCCACAGCAGGACGAGCCUAGUUUCUGGACAAGGGGAUCAGCAGUUGCUCUAUCCAUUAGGAUGCUCCAGCCUCCACGACAGGUGACCCAACUCUGAGGGACUGACAGGGUCCCCUGCCCAGCUCCUCCCUUUGUGCUGCAUCCCUGAAGGGGCUGAUCCCUCUUCCCAAGAUAAUCUAUUUGACCAGUACCUUCCUCCAGCCGUCCCACCUGGAGACUCCGGCCCAGGGGGACGAACGUGCAUGCUGGCCCAGGAAGCCAGGACAAAUGAGAAAGAGGCUGGCAACAUUGUCGUAUCAGGUGGACCAAAGGCUGGCCCUGGCCCCUGCUUUAGCCGCUGCUAUCCCCAACCUCCCUUCCCAUUCCUCGGUGAAGCCGGGCACAGGCUGCAUCAAGACACUCUGCCCGCCAGGGUUUCCCAGCCUCUCUCCUUCCCUGAGGGUGAUGCUCGAAUGACGAGCUUUGCCCUUGACCUUCACACUGUCCCCUUAAGAAAGAGGCACUAGAUGAAUAAAGGAAGAUGUCUGCUUCACUCCAGGUGGGAAAGGAACAAAACAAAAAGAUGGGGACCCCUGCUUCUCAGGCUUGGGGACCACAUGGGUGACACAGACCAGACCAGGAAAGAGGAGGAGGGAAAAGGGAAGAAGAGAUGGGUGAUGGGAGAGCCCCUCUAGGCAAUGGGAAGGUGAGGGACCUGCCACACCCAGUCAAGCACCAGCCUCUCCAAAGGUGCAAGGCAGUAUCUAAGCAAGUGAACGGGUGAAGAAGUGAAUCCUAGAAGGGGAGGAGAGGAGUCCCCAUCGCAGUACAUCAGAAAUGAAUUCGACUAGGAACCAUGAGGUUGCAGAUUCAAUCCCUGGCCUUGCGCAGUGGGUUAGGAUCUGGCAUUGCCAUGAGCUGUGGUGUAGGUCGCAGAUGUGGCUCGGAUCCUGCAUUGCUGCUGUGGUGUAGGCUGACAGCUGUAGCUCCGAUUGGACCCCAUAUGCCACAGGUGUGGGUGCAGCCCUAAAAAAAAUAAAACAAAAAAAAAAA
rnacentral:lncRNA from 1 species